UACGUAGGGUCCGAGCGUUGUCCGGAAUUACUGGGCGUAAAGAGCUCGUAGGUGGUUUGUCGCGUUGUUCGUGAAAACUCACAGCUCAACUGUGGGCGUGCGGGCGAUACGGGCAGACUGGAGUGACUGGCAGGGGAGACGUGGAAUUCCUGGUGUAGCGGUGAAAUGCGCAGAUAUCAGGAGGAACACCGGUGGCGAAGGCGGCGUCCUGGACCGAACACUGACACUGAGGAGCGAAAAGCCAGGGGAGGCAAACGGG
rnacentral:rRNA from 1 species